rnacentral:rRNA from 1 species
GACGAACGCUGGCGGCGUGCUUAACACAUGCCAGUCGAACGGAAAGGCCCUGCUUUUGUGGGGUGCUCGAGUGGUGAACGGGUGAGUAACACGUGAGUAACCUGCCCUUGACUUUGGGAUAACUUCAGGAAACUGGGGCUAAUACCGGAUAGGAGCUCCUGCUGCAUGGUGGGGGUUGGAAAGUUUCGGCGGUUGGGGAUGGACUCGCGGCUUAUCAGCUUGUUGGUGGGGUAGUGGCUUACCAAGGCUUUGACGGGUAGCCGGCCUGAGAGGGUGACCGGCCACAUUGGGACUGAGAUACGGCCCAGACUCCUACGGGAGGCAGCAGUGGGGAAUAUUGCACAAUGGGCGGAAGCCUGAUGCAGCAACGCCGCGUGCGGGAUGACGGCCUUCGGGUUGUAAACCGCUUUCGCCUGUGACGAAGCGUGAGUGACGGUAAUGGGUAAAGAAGCACCGGCUAACUACGUG